CUAAGGAAAACUAUGGCUUAUGAAAUUAGAAUAGGCUCCCAGCCUGAAUUUAAAUAUUGCCCUGGGGCCCUGGCCAGGGCUAGAGGUGCCCAGGGGAACAUGGUCAGGGCCAUCAAGUUCUAUCAGGGUUCUUGGGAACUUCAGAAUGCAUCCCCACCUUACAAAGCCGUGUGAUUGAGGAAUGGCUUGUUGUAAGAUGGUUUGGAUAAAGAACGUGUGAUAUCCCCUUAAGUUUAAGGAACAUUUUUUGUCUAUAGUUAUACCAGCUGUUGAGGUAAUAGAGCUUCUUUUGUGCUAAUUUGGAGUAAAGAAAAUGCUUCCCCUAACGUAAUGGUUGCCUUCCUGCAAGAUCAUAGAAUCAUAGACUGGCUUGGGUUGGAUGAAGAUCAAGGUGCUGUGAUGGGAUUUAAAUCAUUAAUUGAACUCCUGCUCUGGGAAUGAAGGGGAUCAGCUAAACAUUAUUGUGCUGAAGGAGAAUGAGUUCUUUGCUGGGCCUACAGUGCCAUCUACAGCACCAAGCUUGCAGCUGAAAAUAGGUUCUAUGCCAUUAAUGGAAAAGGUAACGCCUCAUUAACAAGAAUCUGCCUUCAGAGAACUCACUUGUGCCUUCACUGAACAAACUUCGCUCUAGUCUGCUGUGUGGGGCCCUUCGUCAGCAGGCGAUGCAAAGCUCUACAAAUUCCUUGUCUCCCUGCUGCUGCCACCUGGGAGCUGUGCUUGUAAUACAAGGUGAGGGAAGCUCCAUGCUUCUGGUGAGACGAGCAAUGAGCAUCAACAGUGGUGAGCUCUCCAG
ensembl:lncRNA